rnacentral:ncRNA from 1 species
GCGCGCAAAUUACCCAUUCCCGACGCGGGGAGGUAGUGACGAAAAAUAACAAUGCAGGACUCGUUCGAGGCCCUGUAAUUGGAAUGAGUACACUUUAAAAGCUUUAACGAGUAUCCAUUGGAGGGCAAGUCUGGUGCCAGCAGCCGCGGUAAUUCCAGCUCCAAAAGUAUAUAUUUAAGUUGUUGCGGUUAAAAAGCUCGUAGUUGGAUUUUGGGCGCAGGCGGCCGGUCCGUCGCAAGGCGUGUACUGGACGUCCUGGCCUUCCCUCCGGUUCUCCGCCGGUGCUCUUGACUGAGUGUCGGCGGCGGCCGGAACGUUUACUUUGAAAAAAUUAGAGUGUUCAAAGCAGGCUCUCGAGCCUGGAUAAUGGUGCAUGGAAUAAUGGAAUAGGACCUCGGUUCUAUUUUGUUGGUUUUCGGAGCGCGAGGUAAUGAUUAAGAGGGACAGACGGGGGCAUUCGUACUGUGCCGUUAGAGGUGAAAUUCUUGGAUCGGCGCAAGACGAACGACUGCGAAAGCAUUUGCCAAGAAUGUUUUCUUUAAUCAAGAGCGAAAGUCAGAGGUUCGAAGACGAUCAGAUACCGUCCUAGUUCUGACUAUAAACGAUGCCAACUAGCGAUCGGGGGGCGUUACAUUGACGACCCUCCGGCAGCUUACGGGAAACCAAAGUCUUUGGGUCCGGGGGGAAGUAUGGUUGCAAAGCUGAA